UAUGUGAUCGUCUCUCGCAUAUCAAUAAGCGGAGGAAAAGAAACUAACAAGGAUUCCCCUAGUAACGGCGAGUGAAGCGGGAAGAGCUCAAAUUUGAAAUCUUAAAGGGUUUCCCUUUACGAAUUGUAGUUUAAAGAAGUGUUUUCUGUUGAGGUUUUGGUAAAAGCUCUUUGGAAUAGGACAUCAUAGAGGGUGAGAAUCCCGUAUUUGACCUUUACUUUCAACUUUGUGAUACACUUUCAAAGAGUCGGAUUGUUUGGGAAUGCAGUCCAAAAUGGGUGGUAAAUUUCAUCUAAAGCUAAAUAUUGGCGAGAGACCGAUAGCGAACAAGUACCGUGGGGGAAAGAUGAAAAGAACUUUGAAAAGAGAGUUAAACAGUACGUGAAAUUGUCAAAAGGGAAGCGUUUGACACCAGUGUUGUUUUUCUGAAAAUCAACUAAAGAACUGUUUAUGCUAAGCUGUUUAGACUUUAUCAGCUAUCUGUUUAGUUUUGAGCUUUUCUUUAAUGCACUUUUCAGUUAACAAGUCAACAUCAAUUUCUUUUGCUGUAAAAAAGCUUGAGGAAGGUGGCUUGAGAUUCGUCUUAAGUGUUUAUAGCCUCUUGCCUAUGCAGUCGGAGAGAUUGAGGUCUGCAGCGUAGAUCCUUCGGGGCUAAAUGCAUUUGUGCUAAGUUAUAGCAUUUUAUAGACAACUUGUUGACUAUGAUUUGUCUUGUAGCUUACUCGCUUAUGUUAUUUUACCUACGCUUAGGAUGUUGACUGAUAUGUAGUCGUA
rnacentral:rRNA from 1 species